rnacentral:rRNA from 1 species
AAACAACUCUCAGCAACGGAUAUCUUGGGUCUUGCAACGAUGAAGAACGCAGCGAAAUGCGAUACGUAGUGUGAAUUGCAGAAUUCCGCGAAUCAUCGAGUCUUUGAACGCAAGUUGCGCCCGAGGCUUGACCAAGGGCAUCUCUGCCAGAGCGUCACC